UUUUAAUCGUCGCCGACUGUCGCGUUGCUGUGGGGGCCAUCGUCGCCGACUGUCGCGUUGCUGUGGGGGCCAUCGUCGCCGACUGUCGCGUUGCUGUGGGGCGCCAUGUGUA